rnacentral:tRNA from 1 species
GCCAGCAUGGUGUAGUGGUUUGAGUGUUGGACUACCACUCUGGAGACCAGGGUUUGAUUCCCCGCUCUGCCA